rnacentral:rRNA from 1 species
UCUACGGGAGGCAGCAGUGGGGAAUAUUGCACAAUGGGCGAAAGCUGAUGCAGCGACGCCGCGUGAGGGAUGACGGCCUUCGGGUUGUAAACCUCUUUCAGCAGGGACGAAGCGCAAGUGACGGUACCUGCAGAAGAAGCACCGGCUAACUACGUGCCAGCAGCCGCGGUAAU